rnacentral:rRNA from 1 species
GUGUCAGCAGCCGCGGUAAUACGUAGGUGGCAAGCGUUGUCCGGAAUUAUUGGCGUUUAGGGCUCGCAGGCGGAACCUUAAGUCUGAUGUGAAGGGGCCCGGCUCAACCGGGGAGGGUCAUUGGAAACUGGCCAACUUGAGUGCAGUAGAGGAGAGUGGAAUUCCACGUGUAGCGGUGAAAUGCAUAGAGAUGUGGACCGGCACCAGUGGCGAAGGCGACUCUCUGGUCUGUAACUGACCCUGAGGAGCGUUAGCGUGGGGAGCGAACAGGAUUAGAAACCCGUGUAGUCC